rnacentral:rRNA from 1 species
AUUGAACGCUGGCGGCAUGCUUUACACAUGCAAGUCGAACGGUAACAGGCCGCAAGGUGCUGACGAGUGGCGAACGGGUGAGUAAUGCAUCGGAACGUGCCCAGUCGUGGGGGAUAACGCAGCGAAAGCUGUGCUAAUACCGCAUACGAUCUAUGGAUGAAAGCGGGGGACCGUAAGGCCUCGCGCGAUUGGAGCGGCCGAUGUCAGAUUAGGUAGUUGGUGGGGUAAAGGCCUACCAAGCCGACGAUCUGUAGCUGGUCUGAGAGGACGACCAGCCACACUGGGACUGAGACACGGCCCAGCCUCCUACGGGAGGCAGCAGUGGGGAAUUUUGGACAAUGGGCGCAAGCCUGAUCCAGCAAUGCCGCGUGCAGGAAGAAGGCCUUCGGGUUGUAAACUGCUUCUGUACGGAACGAAACGGUCUGGGUUAAUACCCUGGGCUAAUGACGGUACCGUAAGAAUAAGCACCGGCUAACUACGUGCCAGCAGCCGCGGUAAUAC